AUACAUGCAGUCGAACGCUUCUUUYCUCCCGAGUGCUUGCACUCAAUUGGAAAGAGGAGUGGCGGACGGGUGAGUAACACGUGGGUAACCUACCCAUCAGAGGGGGAUAACACUUGGAAACAGGUGCUAAUACCGCAUAACAGUUUAUGCCGCAUGGCAUAAGAGUGAAAGGCGCUUUCGGGUGUCGCUGAUGGAUGGACCCGCGGUGCAUUAGCUAGUUGGUGAGGUAACGGCUCACCAAGGCCRCGAUGCAUAGCCGACCUGAGAGGGUGAUCGGCCACACUGGGACUGAGACACGGCCCAGACUCCUACGGGAGGCAGCAGUAGGGAAUCUUCGGCAAUGGACGAAAGUCUGACCGAGCAACGCCGCGUGAGUGAAGAAGGUUUUCGGAUCGUAAAACUCUGUUGUUAGAGAAGAACAAGGACGUUAGUAACUGAACGUCCCCUGACGGUAUCUAACCAGAAAGCCACGGCUAACUACGUGCCAGCAGCCGCGGUAAUACGUAGGUGGCAAGCGUUGUCCGGAUUUAUUGGGCGUAAAGCGAGCGCAGGCGGUUUCUUAAGUCUGAUGUGAAAGCCCCCGGCUCAACCGGGGAGGGUCAUUGGAAACUGGGGAGACUUGAGUGCAGAAGAGGAGAGUGGAAUUCCAUGUGUAGCGGUGAAAUGCGUAGAUAUAUGGAGGAACACCAGUGGCGAAGGCGGCUCUCUGGUCUGUAACUGACGCUGAGGCUCGAAAGCGUGGGAGCAAACAGGAUUAGAUACCCUGGUAGUCCACGCCGUAAACGAUGAGUGCUAAGUGUUGGAGGGUUUCCGCCCUUC
rnacentral:rRNA from 1 species